ACCGCUCCAUUUAUUACAGAAAGCAUUGUUUAAAUGAAUAUUAAUUAUGAACCAUUAUUAAACAUGCAUUGUUAUUACCAACAAACAAGUUUAACAAGACCACAAUUUUCAAAUUAAAUAUGUACACAUAUCUUUAAUGCUUUUAUAUUUGACGCAUAUAUUGGAAAAUGUAGCAGUAUAUGCACCACUGCGAACAGGCAGUACAUUGACAGAGAUUAUAGAAGUAGCAUUGGCAACUACUACUUAUGAACCAAAUAACAGGUAAACAAAAAUAAUUCCGCAAGACUUUCUUGACAAAAUCAGAGGGAAAAAGGUAAGCGAAAGCAAAAUGACAAAAACAUAGAGCACGUGAAAGCAAAAAAACAUCUAAACAAACUUGCAAAGGAAAUAGAAAGUAAAAUAAAAGAUCAUAAUAAUAACGAAUUCUCAAAAUUCAUAGAUUCACUUUCUGCGUACGAGAAUUCCAACUACUUCCUAUGGAAAGCCACGAACAAAAUAAAGGAGCCAAUUAAACUAAUCCCAGCAAUCAGAUUAACGGACAACACAUGAGCCAGAAGCAACGAAGAGCAAGCUGAAGAAUUUUCCAACCACCUUUGUUGAAGUUAUCUCUUCGAGGAACGCGUGAUGAAUGUGUAACAGAAAUAUAUUUAAGUAUAAGUGUAACUCGUUACAUUACAACAGAGCUUCGAAGCCAUGAGUCUAUGGGUAUUUAUAUAAUUACGAAAACUGGCCCGUCUAUAUAUACCCUGCUGCACCAUCUGUGCAUGGCAUAUUCCUAAAAAAGGCUAUGAGAAUGAGAGGCCCUUCAAAUUGAUUUAGAGCUAAACAAUACUCAAUAGCAUCGGGGACUAAGAGAACUAAAUGCUAGAGAAGAUGUAGUUUUCCUAGAAACCUAAUUUUUGUCGUAAAUAUUGAAAUCUUGGUUUCGGUAACGCCUUCGUAAAUAUAUCUGCUUGUUACGUCCGGCGACUCUCUACACAAAGCAGACUCCACGCCACGUGAGUUCUAUUAGAAACAGUGACAAUGACUGUUUUGUAUCGUAUCUGGUUAUAUUAUUUAUUGUUCUUACUUGGUGCCCGAUUUUUGUUAGUUCCUUGCAUAUAUUUUUGGUGUUUGUUCUUGGGUAUAGGUCUCUAAUUACUACUUUGUGGUUCUUUUCUGUUUUGAGCUGGUAUGUAUGAUGUAUAGUAUGUUUAAUACUUGCGCCACUUUUCGAAAGAUUUUUGGAGUAUUUGUUUGCACUUUGACUUGUUCCAGUUUUAAUUCCUUUAUACUGUAGUUUUCUCUUCCGACAGUGUUGUUUAAUAGUUCAAUAAGGGUAUCUGUUAUUUGAGCAUGAAUGUAGAUCGGUGAUGGUUUAACGAUAUGUGUUGUCAUUUCUUCCUCUGAACUCGUAUCUCCGUCUUUUAUCAGUGAGCUGAAAGAAUUUCGGAGUGGGAUGUCCUGUAGCCACUGGUGCAUUUCUGUAUCGGGAAUUUUUAUAGCGCUUGUAUUUAGGAUUAUUUUACGCCUUUUGUGAGCUGUUGCUACCUUCCAGUUUUCAUCUUGAUAGGAUAGUUCGUUCUUGUAGCUGUUUUCUUCCUGCUUUUGCAACGUUUCCAUUUCUUUUAUAGGCUUUCCUGUUCUUUGUUAAUUGGUUGUUUUCUGCUUAACGUAUUUGUAGCUUCAUUUAUGAAACAUGUCACCCUUUUUUGUUUGGCGGCGGGAUUGGUUGUUGCAUUUUGAAACUUUUAUCAUGUGACAGUGUUCGUUAACGUUUUAACCUCCUAAAUUCACUAUUUAUCGCACUAACACUGGAGCACAUUUACUCGCACCUGUUUACCUCGACUGCUCGGGCAGAAUUGUCAUUACAAUGCAAUUAUCUAUAUUGUUACACCGAGGCCUUUCUUCUAUUUUGUCCGGCAAUUUUCAUUUUUAACGUGAUGAACAUUUUCUUCUACAUCAUAUUUUAAAAUUUGUUAACAAUCACUGUUUACAAAUUGACGGCAAGUACCUGAUUUGGGAUUAUACGUUCUAUAUACAUCGAACGUAACAAUAAGGAACACAGAAAACAACUGAGAUAUAACACGAUAUUGAAAUUAGAAAUUAAUUACACCCUCGUAGCGGUGCCUGCAUCAGCUUGGACUAAUUCGCAAACGAUGGAAGUUGUAUAUGUUAGAGCGAAAAGAAGCCUCGCGUAUUCAAUCUCAGAAUGUCAUGUCCGAAGGAAGUCCAUCUCCAACGUAGCUAAUCGAACUAUGCGUCUAAUCGAACUUUUCGGGGUUACUUUCAUGUUCGGUAUCAUUUUGAUCAAAAGAACCUCAACAAUACAAUUAAAACAACGUUUUGUCGAUGAAAUAAAAGAUGUAGAAGCUUCAUUUUUUCUAUCGAAGAGAUCUUAACAAAAGAACGAUAACAGGUUGUACCUUAAUGCCUCGAUGAAAGAAAUUUUAUAUUUUAACGUUUCAACAUUUUAAUGAUGCAAUAGUAUAAUAUUUUAAUAAGAAGGGAGAAAUGGUACGUUCGUGUACGAUUUUAUACUUUCAAUCGGCAAAAAUGAUGUUGGAAGGGGAGAAAAGCUAUUGAAAAACAUUUGGAUAAUUAAAUAAUUGUAGCUGCUGGCUGUAGAUGUCGCUGCUGGGGUACUGCUAUAUUUUUCUAAUUUAGAUGCGUGGAAGAAAAAUCGGACUACGGGCGCCGGGAUUCGAAUCCGAGUCGCGAACGUUCGUAACCUAAGGCGCUAACCACUGCGCUACCGUUGUCCGGUAUUAGUUAGUGGCGGUAUUUCAUGUCGAGUGCCGCGACAGAUCUAUCGGACAAUGGCCCGCGGCCGGUUCGAUCGUAACGUCGAUUAACAUGUAUCAACGGCUGGACCCGCUAGUAACAUCAAAAUACAAUUUCUUUUGUCAAGGGGAAACAUUGAAUUAUAGGCUCGCCCUAUCAACUCAAAAUCAACUUCAAAUGACGACUAAUUAGACACUUUGGAAAGUUUCACAUACAUCACGAUCACGAUAGACAUUACGCAAGACGAUUAAUUCGUUUCUAAGUUUCUCUUUGUACAGAACCAUACCGUCGACCGAUGGGUCCGCGGUAGAAAACGGUAACAAGGAAGGAUGGCCGCAGGAAAUCCCUGACUCCUAAAGCCGCGAGCAAGGAGGUUGGAGCGGAGGAAGCGGCGAUUGAAGCCAUGAACUUAGGUGAUUAAGAUUAAGGGUGCGCACCCUCCAGAACAAUCUGGGACAGUCAAGACCUGCUUUUCCAAACCAUUCUGGAGAGCACGGUUGCCCUAGCGGUGGUGGCCGAGCCAUACAGAGUCCUGGACGCUCCGGACUGCGCCGGAGAUACAGAGGGUUGUCACCUGGACAUCAGCGCCGGCAUCGUCCGCCCACAGGGAUCCGCUGGAGCGCGGCAACGGAUACGCAGCGGUCGAAUGGUCAGGAAUGGUGGUAGUGGCCGUAUAUGUGUCGCCCAACAGCGAAUGGACAGCGUUCGAGGAGUUCUUGGACGGGGUAGGCGACUGCCAUUACGAUUACGAGAUAUAGUAUUACGUUAUAAUACAUUACAUUAUAACGUAUUCCGUUAAAUUGAAUUACGUUAUAUCAUAUUACGUUUUGCCGUUCCUUCACAUACUGAGCAGAAGGCGAACGUUACCAUGAUCGCGGACGAAUAUUAAGACAGGCAGAGUGGGGAUAUGGUAAGAAUAGAAAGGGAGGCAAGUGGAUCAACACAGCAGUUGCCCGUAACCAGUCGUCAGUAGGAAUCGCAACCAGAGAGUUCUGAAGAAGUCGCUGGUCAAGAAAGUAAACGAACUGCGGAACGAAGCGCCGCGUAUUAAGUUGGCAGCCUUCACGUAAUAGAGUACAUUCAGUAAUAUAGUAUUACGUUAUAUAGUAUAACGCUAUAACGCAUUACGUUAUAUAGUAUAAGUAAAAUCCAAUGCAACCACAGCUAUCAAUAUUGAAGAUUAAAUAUGUAAUUGAACGAAUCUCCGCUUCUAUUGAGGAUAUGUAGACAAUUCGAUGUGCGUUAUACUCCACGUUUGAUGCCAAAUACAACGCACAUCAUCUGGUUUGCGCUAUGUUCACUCUUUUCCUGUCAAAUCCGAUGCAAUUAUAAUUUUUAAUGCUCAAGGCUAAAUAUUCAAUUCUACGAAUCUCCGCUGCUAUUGGACAAAUUUCGACAAUUCGAUACGCGUUGUACUCCACAUUUGCUGCUUUACACAGCGCACAUCAGUCGGUUUGCACUAUGUCAUCUCUUUUGCCUGUCAAAUCCGAUGCAGUUAGAAUUUUUAAUGCUCAAGGCUAAAUAUUGAAUUCUACGAAUCUCCGCUGCUACUCAGGAUACAUAGGCAGCUCGAUGCGCGUUGUACUCCACAUUGGCUGCUUUAUACAGCGCACUUCAGUCGGUUUGCACUAUGUCAUCUCUUUUCCCUGUCUAAUCCAAUGCAAUUAGAAUUUGUAAUGCUCCAGGCUAAAUAUUCAAUUCAACGAAUCUCCGCUGCUAUUCGGGAUACAGAGGCAGUUCGAUGCGCAUUGUACUCCAUAUUGGCUGCUUUAUACAGCGCACAUCAGCUGAUUUGCAUUGUGUUAAUCCUGGACCCUGUCAAAUCCAAUGGAGUUAGAACUUUUAAUGCUCGAGGCUAAAUAUUGAAUUCCACGAAUCUCCGCUGUUAUUAGAGAUACCUAGGCAUGUUGGGUCCCAAAGGUGCUAGUGGUAUCAUUGCACUGUUCACGCCUAGUAGUGCCAAGUGCCAACUCCUCCUCCAAGUCGGCGGGGCUGGUAAAUACUGACUUGUCAAUGGCUACGUAGAUGGCGACGUGGCUUAAGAACUCAUCCUGUCCGAGGAAGAGAACAUGCAUCAUGGCGUAAACAAUCACACGUCGCAGACCCGAUCGGGUAUCGUGGCGGGUUAAGCCUUUCGUUACAGGCGGCUUCUCCUGCGUGACAAGCGCUCUGCGCCAAAAAGAAAAAACUUUCCUCGAAACAGGGUAUUUAUAACUUCUUAACACACUCACUUUUAAUUGAAAUUUGGGUAGGCCUACUUUGGGGGGGGGGGGACAAUCGUCUCCCCUAACGCCACAUUUAGUUAGUUAGUUCAUAGGAUAGGCCUAACGAGAAGACGCGGGGAGUGUACCGGCAGUAAUUUCCAAGAGGUCUCGGGCACUGCUGCCAAACGUGUAGGUUGGCCACCGUGGAGUUUUUGUCAGUAGGGGUCUGGCACUACUCCACUAAUUCUCCAGAAUGCAGCGGAGUGUCCAUGAGGAUUUCUCCACGUAGAAGAAAAAAAGGAAGAAGGUGUUGAAGCAUAUAAAUAGGUGAUAUAUCGUAUUUCAAUUCUUUGAAUUUUGUUUGAAUUAUUGUUAAUUACAAUCACAAUAUCUGAUAAUAUCAUGCACACAAUUAAGUGUAACCACGCUCUUAAUCGUCAUCGUUGUCAAUUACAAUUAUAAUUCCAAGUUUACUUACA